AGAAUCAACGCUGGCGGCGUGCCUAACACAUGCAAGUCGAACGAGAAAGGGGUAGUAAUACCCCGAGUAAAGUGGCGACCGGGUGAGUAACACGUGACUAACCUACCCUCGAGUGUGGAAUAACAUCGGGAAACCGAUGCUAAUACCGCAUAACAUCGACGCUUUUAAUAAGUGCCGAUCAAAGGAGCAAUCCGCUUGAGGAGGGGGUCGCGGCUGAUUAGCUAGUUGGCGGGGUAACGCCCACCAAGGCGAAGAUCGGUA
rnacentral:rRNA from 1 species